GUGGCCCCACACGACUGGCGCGGGUGGAUGACCACCGGGGAGUGACACGUGCGGCAUCGCCCGCCUGGGUGCCGAGA
rfam:Mobilicoccus pelagius NBRC 104925 DNA, contig: MOPEL099.